rnacentral:rRNA from 1 species
UAGGGAAUAUUGGACAAUGGGUGCGAGCCUGAUCCAGCCAUGCCGCGUGCAGGAAGAAGGCGUUAUGCGUUGUAAACUGCUUUUGCCAGGGGAUAAAAUAACUGUGCGCAGUUGAUUGAAGGUACCUGGUGAAUAAGCCACGGCUAACUACGUGCCAGCAGCCGCGGUAAUACGUAGGUGGCAAGCGUUGUCCGGAUUUAUUGGGUUUAAAGGGUGCGUAGGCGGCCCUGUAAGUCAGUGGUGAAAUAUCUCAGCUUAACUGAGAGGGUGCCAUUGAUACGUGCGGGGCUUGAGUACAGAUGAGGUAGGCGGAAUUGACGGUGUAGCGGUGAAAUGCAUAGAUAUCGUCAAGAACACCGAUAGCGAAGGCAGCUUACCAAGCUGUAACUGACGCUGAGGCAC